CUCUAUGGCCUUACCACCCUGAAUGCACCCCAUCUCAUAUAAUCUCAGAAGCUAAGCAGGGUCAAGCCUGGUUAGUACUUGGAUGCGAGAAAUCUGAUCCUUGACCUAAAAGGUAGCCCAUAGUUU
rnacentral:rRNA from 1 species